GCGGAAUGAGUCUCUUGUCACAUUAUCCUCAACCUUCUCCCGUCUCCUGCAUACCCUUCCACACUCAUCCCAGCCACAAACCUGAAGGCUGGUAGUGGGAAAGGGAGUCUAGAGGAGUAACACUGUAACCCACGGACAGGGGGUACUGAGCCAAAGGGCUGAGGGUUCAGACCUACGACCUUCCUCACCACCUAAGACACGAGACACGACUGGGGACCGCUGGAGAGAUGUGAGGCCAAAUCUGUUCAAGGUUUAUUUAGUUUUCUUCUCUGCCAAGGGAGGGAGGGGGUCCCGUUAAGGGAGGCGCCGGCCAGGCAGUUCCACUCGGUUGUCAAAAGACAAACCCAGUCUGUAUUCUUCCAGUUGGUUUGUGGGUUUUGCCAAUUCCUAAGCUGGCGAGUCCGUGGUGAAGGAGUUGAACUGAAUUUUCUGGAAACUGUUGGUGUCUGCAAGUGAGUGUUGGUCCCCUCCCCCAUUCUCGACCGUUUCAAGCGAAAUCGCGCAAAAAAAAAAAAAAAAGCUUUGGUAGAACAUCAUGAGUGAGGAGAAAUCGU
rnacentral:lncRNA from 1 species